AGUUAAUAAGCUUUAAGCAUUUGUUUUGAAAACAAAAGAUAAAAUUCUAUAUUUUAUUAACUU
rnacentral:tRNA from 1 species